GUGGGGUUGGGGAUGAAGCGGUUGACCCGGUCGCCGAUGAUGGCCUGGGUAUGCCUGCCGUCGCUGUACAUCUGGACGCCGCGCCUACGAAACUUUCU
rnacentral:sRNA from 1 species